UGAGGAACAUGACCUUCGGCGGGGGAUAGCCGGCCCAACGGCCGGGUAAUACCGCGUACGACCUUUCGGGGACAUCCCCGGAUGGUGAAAGCAGCAAUGCGCCGAUGGAGUGCCUCGCGGCCUAUCAGCUAGUUGGUGAGGUAACGGCUCACCAAGGCAACGACGGGUAGCUGGUCUGAGAGGAUGGCCAGCCANAUUGGGACUGAGACACGGCCCAGACCUCCGUACGGGAGGNACGCG
rnacentral:rRNA from 1 species